rnacentral:rRNA from 1 species
GAAUUUAAUUUUGGUUCCGAUUGAACGUUUUUCAGUAGUUUUAAGACAUGCAAAUCGUUUGUACACAGUUAAUCAAUAUUAACAAAAAUGUUAAUUAAAAUUAAACAAAUUUUAUGAUUUAAGUGUACAAGGUGUACGGGUGAGUAUUGUAAUUGAGAUACCCUUGUAGACUUCAGAAAUUGAAGAUAAUUCUUUUUCAUAAACUAGAACAAAACUUUUUUUUUCUACUAGUGAAACUUUUCAGGUCUAAGAAACCUUUAAAGUAUAUAAAGAAUAAAACAAAAGGUAAACUUUAAAGAAAGAAAGGGAAAUUUUCCGCAACAGGGAUUCAAAUUACAUUCGAUUAGGUAGUUGGCAGGGUAGAAGCCUCCCAAGCCGACGAUCGAUAGUCAAGUUUGACAGAACUAAUGACCACAUUGGGAUUGAAAUCUCCCAAGUAGCGUUUUGCUACCAGCAGUCAAGAAUAUUAGUCAAUGCUCGCAAGAGUGAACUAGCUAACUGAAAUCCUUGGUGUGUCAUCGGGGAUAACGUAAAGGAAAAUAAUGAUAUUACUUUACUAUUAGUGUCGUCCAAGUACUCGUGCCAGAAGACUCGGUAAGGCGAGAGACGCAAACGUUAUUCGUCUUGAUCAGGCGUAAAGGGUUUGUAGGCGGCUUUAAGUAUCUAAAAUUAAGUUUACUAUUAUAAUACUACUUUUGUACUAUUAUAAUAUUUAACAGAAGGUCAAUUAAAGCUAGAAUCUAAAAGAGGUUAAAACAAUGCUUGAUAACAGGUGUACUAACCGAAUACAACAAGUAGAGUGUUAAGGGCGAAGGCUUUUAUCCAAUAAAGAUUGACGCUGAGAAACGAAGGUGAGGACAGAAAAAAGGAUUAGAGACCCUUGUAUCCCUCACUGUCAACGAUGAAUGGUAGUUACUAGGGAGAAUAUAAACUAGAGACGAUGUUAACACGAAAACCAUUCCGCCUUGUGAGUACGACUGCAAAGUUGAAAACAAAAAAAUUAGUCGGUUUCGGAGCAAACGAAGUGAAGCAUGUUAUUUAAUGCGAUAGUCCGCGUAAAACCUUACCAGUUCUUGUAUAAAAACUUUAAAUUUAAAGGAGUUAUUUUGUUAUUUUUAUUGUUAAAGAUAACAGGUGCUUAAUACAGGUGUUGCAUGGCUGUCUUCAGUCCGUAUCGUGAGGAGUGAGGUUAAAUCCGUUAACGGACGCAAUCCCUAUUGUUAAUUUGUACUUAACAAUUUAUGAUUCUGAGAAAGUUUCAUUUGGGGCUAAGACAAGCCCUUAUGGCCCUCAUGAACUGGGCUAUCGACGUGCUAUAAAGAUUUUCACAAAGUGACGCAAAACUUCUCUUACCUUUCUUGAAAAAGAAAGUUAGUUUUAAACUGUUUAAAUCUUUUUUUAUUUGAUUUAAAUAUAAAAACUAAAGAGCAUAAGGAUAAGCUAAUCACUAAAAAAAAUCAAAAUAAUAAAUUAAUGUUACGGAUUGUCGCCUGAAACUUGGUGGCAUGAAGGAGGAAUUUCGAGUAAUCGUUGAUCAUUAGGCGCAACGGUGAAGCAAAAAUCCGAGAUGAACUAACCGUCUGUCGCUGGGAAGGAGCUUAUUUUGGUGGAAA